rnacentral:rRNA from 1 species
GAUGAACGCUAGCUACAGGCUUAACACAUGCAAGUCGAGGGGAAACGAUAUUGGAAGCUUGCUUCCGAUAGGCGUCGACCGGCGCACGGGUGAGUAACGCGUAUCCAACCUGCCCAUCACUUGGGAAUAACCUUGCGAAAGUAAGACUAAUGCCCAAUGACAUUUAUAGAAGGCAUCUGAAAUGAAUUAAAGAUUUAUCGGUGAUGGAUGGGGAUGCGUCUGAUUAGCUUGUUGGCGGGGUAACGGCCCACCAAGGCGACGAUCAGUAGGGGUUCUGAGAGGAAGGUCCCCCCACAUUGGAACUGAGACACGGUCCAAACUCCUACGGGAGGCAGCAGUGAGGAAUAUUGGUCAAUGGGCGAGAGCCUGAACCAGCCAAGUAGCGUGCAGGAUGACGGCCCUAUGGGUUGUAAACUGCUUUUAUAAGGGAAUAAAGUGAGUCUCGUGAGACUUUUUGCAUGUACCUUAUGAAUAAGGACCGGCUAAUUCCGUGCCAGCAG